UACCUACGGGGGGCAGCAGUGAGGAAUAUUGGUCAAUGGACGCAAGUCUGAACCAGCCAAGUCGCGUGCAGGAUGACGGCCCUCCGGGUUGUAAACUGCUUUUAGUUGGGAAUAAAAGGGGGCUCGUGAGCCCCGUAUUGUAUGUACCAUCAGAAAAAGGACCGGCUAAUUCCGUGCCAGCAGCCGCGGUAAUACGGAAGGUCCGGGCGUUAUCCGGAUUUAUUGGGUUUAAAGGGUGCGUAGGCGGUCCGUUAAGUCAGCGGUAAAAUUGCGGGGCUCAACCCCGUCGAGCCGUUGAAACUGGC
rnacentral:rRNA from 1 species